GCUCCGAUGGAGGGGGAUAACUACUGGAAACGGUAGCUAAUACCGCAUAACGUCGCAAGACCAAAGAGGGGGACCUUCGGGCCUCUUGCCAUCGGAUGUGCCCAGAUGGGAUUAGCUAGUAGGUGGGGUAACGGCUCACCUAGGCGACGAUCCCUAGCUGGUCUGAGAGGAUGACCAGCCACACUGGAACUGAGACACGGUCCAG
rnacentral:rRNA from 1 species